rnacentral:rRNA from 1 species
UAACGCGUAUGCAACCUACCUUGUACAGGGGAAUAGCCCGGAGAAAUUCGGAUUAAUGCCCCAUAGUAUCACCAGAUGGCAUCUGAAGGUGAUUAAAGAUUUAUCGGUACAAGAUGGGCAUGCGUGACAUUAGUUAGUUGGCGGGGUAACGGCCCACCAAGACUAUGAUGUCUAGGGGUUCUGAGAGGAUGAUCCCCCACACUGGUACUGAGAUACGGACCAGACUCC